rnacentral:rRNA from 1 species
AGAGUUUGAUCCUGGCUCAGAUUGAACGCUGGCGGAACGCUUUACACAUGCAAGUCGAACGGUAACGCGGAGAGAAGCUUGCUUCUCUCCGGCGACGAGUGGCGAACGGGUGAGUAAUACAUCGGAACGUGUCCGCUCGUGGGGGACAACCAGCCGAAAGGUUGGCUAAUACCGCAUGAGUUCUACGGAAGAAAGAGGGGGACCCGCAAGGGCCUCUCGCGAGCGGAGCGGCCGAUGACUGAUUAGCCGGUUGGUGAGGUAACGGCUCACCAAAGCAACGAUCAGUAGCUGGUCUGAGAGGACGACCAGCCACACUGGGACUGAGACACGGCCCAGACUCCUACGGGAGGCAGCAGUGGGGAAUUUUGGACAAUGGGCGCAAGCCUGAUCCAGCUAUUCCGCGUGUGGGAUGAAGGCCCUCGGGUUGUAAACCACUUUUGUAGAGAACGAAAAGACACCUUCGAAUAAAGGGUGUUGCUGACGGUACUCUAAGAAUAAGCACCGGCUAACUACGUGCCAGCAGCCGCGGUAAUACGUAGGGUGCGAGCGUUAAUCGGAAUUACUGGGCGUAAAGGGUGCGCAGGCGGUUGAGUAAGACAGAUGUGAAAUCCCCGAGCUUAACUCGGGAAUGGCAUAUGUGACUGCUCGACUAGAGUGUGUCAGAGGGAGGUGGAAUUCCACGUGUAGCAGUGAAAUGCGUAGAUAUGUGGAAGAACACCGAUGGCGAAGGCAGCCUCCUGGGACAUAACUGACGCUCAGGCACGAAAGCGUGGGGAGCAAACAGGAUUAGAUACCCUGGUAGUCCACGCCCUAAACGAUGUUAACUAGUUGUUGGGAAGUAAAAUUCUCAGUAACGCAGCCAACGCGAGAAGUUAACCGCCUGGGAAGUACGGUCGCAAGACUAAAACUCAAAGGAAUUGACGGGGACCCGCACAAGCGGUGGAUGAUGUGGAUUAAUUCGAUGCAACGCGAAAAACCUUACCUACCCUUGACAUGUCAGGAAGCUCUUGU